rnacentral:rRNA from 1 species
GCUGGCGGCAGGCUUAACACAUACAAGUCGAGCGGGCGUAGCAAUACGCCAGCGGCAGACGGGUGAGUAACGCGUGGGAACGUACCUUUUGGUUCGGAACAACACAGGGAAACUUGUGCUAAUACCGGAUAAGCCCUUACGGGGAAAGAUUUAUCGCCGAAAGAUCGGCCCGCGUCUGAUUAGCUAGUUGGUGAGGUAACGGCUCACCAAGGCGACGAUCAGUAGCUGGUCUGAGAGGAUGAUCAGCCACAUUGGGACUGAGACACGGCCCAAACUCCUACGGGAGGCAGCAGUGGGGAGUAUUGGACAAUGGGCGCAAGCCUGAUCCAGCCAUGCCGCGUGAGUGAUGAAGGCCCUAGGGUUGUAAAGCUCUUUUGUGCGGGAAGAUAAUGACGGUACCGCAAGAAUAAGCCCCGGCUAACUUCGUGCCAGCAGCCGCGGUAAUACGAAGGGGGCUAGCGUUGCUCGGAAUCACUGGGCGUAAAGGGUGCGUAGGCGGGUCUUUAAGUCAGGGGUGAAAUCCUGGAGCUCAACUCCAGAACUGCCUUUGAUACUGAGGAUCUUGAGUUCGGGAGAGGUGAGUGGAACUGCGAGUGUAGAGGUGAAAUUCGUAGAUAUUC